GUGUGUGUGUGAGAGAGAACGAGGACAGGACAGCCACAGGAGGCCGAGUGCCGGUAAUGGGCUGUAAUCAGGGAUAAAUGUUGACACGGUUGCACGCGCGCAACUUGAGCGCAAAAUCUACGGUGGCCGGAGAUAAUUUGGCAGCGCGGAAUGAGAUUAUCACUGGUGAGGUGAUUAAUGAGCUAGCAUCUCGGCUGCGGUUAGCUAGCAGUCACCGCCGUGCUGUUGGUUGGCACCUGCCGGACCUCCAUGCAGAUGGGGGAAGACUUUGACUCGCGCUCGUCUGAUUGAAGCCGGAUGGACUCCGUCUUUCUCCCCCCGCUCCACUGUCUCUCUUUGGUCCCAGGCGCAAAACUGCAAAGUCAAAGAACUGCUGCUCCACAUCCAUCUCUCCGAAGGAAAGAAAG